ensembl:snRNA U2 U2 spliceosomal RNA
GUUGCUUCAUGGCCUUUUGGCUAAGUUCAAGUGUAGUAUCUGUCCUUAUCAGUUUAAUAACUGAUACAUCCUCUAUCUGAGGACAAUACAUUAAAUGGAUUUUUGGAGCAGGGAGAUGGAAUAAGAACCAGUUUCCUCCACUCCAUGCAUCAACCUGGUAUUGCAGUACCUCCAGACAUGGUGCACCCCUC